CAGGGCAUGGCGUAACGGUAACGUAUUUGAUUUGGGAUCAAAAGAUUAUCGGUUCAAAUCCGAUUGCCCUGA
rnacentral:tRNA from 1 species